GGGUGGGCUCUGGGCACUCCAGGGUGGGCUCGGGGCUCCCCAGGGUGGGGCCGGGACAGCCCCCAGGGUGGGUUCAGGGCUCCCCAGGGUGUCUCUGGGCACCCCAGGGUGGGCUCGGAGCAGCCCCAGGGCUGGCUCGGGGCACCCCAGGGUGGGCUCGGGGCAGCCCCCUCCGCUGUCCCCAGUCCCGCUCCCUCCUCGGGGUCACCCCCGGGAUGCUCCGGGCCUGGGGCUCAGGCCCGGGGAGGUUUUCUAGGGGGUUUCUCUAUUUUCUAAGCACUUCUCAGUUCUCUCGGCCGGGGCUGGACAGGGCCCCGCUGCCCCUCGAGCCCCCCGGGCAGGGCAGGGACGGGACGGGGCAUGGCGGGACCUGCCCCCGGCCCGCGGGUCCCUGGGACCCGAGCUGUGCCCCCCGUGCCCCCCGUGCCCCCCGAGUGCUGCCCGUGCUCCCGUGCGUGUCCGUGUGUCCUGUAGCUGAGCUGUGUCCGUCUGGGGUUCCUCGGCACCAGACCCGAGUGCUGGCUUUGUUCCUCCCGUGUGGCCCCCAAAAAGGGAGGGGUGGGGGUGGAGACCCCCCGUGCGCAGCCCCCCCUUGUGGCCCUGUCCCUGCCCGAUGGUGACAAUGGGCUGAGCUGGGCGAGGGGCAGCCCUGAGCCCCCCCUGCCCACCUGGGGACACCUGGACGGGUCAAGGGGGCCACAAAACCCCCGGGAGACCCCCUGGGCCAGCGGGGCCAGCAGCUCCACGGGAUCCAUCCCACCCGCGUCCAGCGGGGCUGUCCCGGCGCUGCAAGUGGCCCAGGAGCGAGCAGGGGGCUGCAGGUGGCCACAGGGCUCCCAAAGCCCGCGGUGGGUUUGUGGGAGGGAUUUGGGGCGGGGGGGAGAAGCUCGGCCCCUCCACGGAAAUAAAGCCGCACUGUGCCAACCCCA